UACGGAGGGUGCAAGCGUUAAUCGGAAUUACUGGGCGUAAAGCGUGCGUAGGCGGUUCGUUAAGUCUGUUGUGAAAGCCCCGGGCUCAACCUGGGAAUGGCAAUGGAUACUGGCGAGCUAGAGUGUGUCAGAGGAUGGUGGAAUUCCCGGUGUAGCGGUGAAAUGCGUAGAGAUCGGGAGGAACAUCAGUGGCGAAAGCGCUCACUGGACCACAACUGACGCUGAUGCACGAAAGCUAGGGGAGCAAACAGG
rnacentral:rRNA from 1 species